CAACGGGUUUUGUCCAAUGAAAUACUUAUCAGACAUCAAGGGUCCAGAUAAGUGUUCAUUGGACAAAGAUCGUUA
rnacentral:pre_miRNA from 1 species